ensembl:lncRNA
CUGAGUCAGAUAUGGGUCACGAACAGGUUAAAAGACACUGACAUAUGGAGAAGUGCUGCUGAAGUGUCGCAGUAUCUUUCCUCUGCCAAAAAGGGCAUCGAGAUGGUGAGCCUUCAUGCUUUUCUAUUCUUAGCUGAAGAAACCUUCCUCUCUUCCAAAGUCUGGCACCGCCCCUCCACCCCUGCAUCUAGAUUUAUAAGAGCCACAGAUCCUCGGCACUGGUUUGGCACAAGACUUCCCGAGCAGGACAAGUAACCCACAAAAUGUAGCCAGUAUCCAGGGCUGCUCACAGCUUUGCUUCUUGUUAAGGAAGAUGAUGGUCUUAAAAUGGUUUUACCACAAGAAACUUCCCCUACACGGAAUAUACCUGUUGUUUUCCCCUGAGGCCUCACACUGCCACUCUGAGGAAUAAAAUGAUAGAUCCAGAGGGUUUACCACAGAUCAUGGGGAGACAAUACAGGCCAACCGCUGGCAUGUGAAGACUCCAUGAAACGAAUCACAAGACCCUGAACUCCCCUCGACACACCCGCUGUGGCUAUGCCAAGUCCAGGGACAGAGCUGGCCGGACUUUUCUCACAGUAAUGUACAGUAUGAGUAAACUUUUAUGACCAAAACGUUUAUCCAACACUGAGCUACUGAACUGAGUAUUGGUAUGGUUGUCACUGGCUCCUUACAGCAGAAAUUGUCUGUUUAAUGGUUUAAAAGUGAUUCUGUGUCAUCAGCUGGAGUCAGGAAUUAAAACCCCUUAUUGUAACCAUAUAAUUCAUUUUGGUGCUUGAUAUUAAAAUAUCAAUAAAAGUGAA